UCUUAUGGAAGAACAAAGAAAGUGGUUUCUUGAGAUGGAAUCUACUCUUGGUGAAGAUGCUAAGAC
rnacentral:pre_miRNA from 5 species